rnacentral:tmRNA from 1 species
ACUGGCUUCGACGUGGGUCGCGAAACCCAAGGUGCAUGCCGAGGUGCAGGUUCCUCGUAAAACCGUCUGCAAACUGUUAGUUGCCAACGACGACAACUACGCACUAGCCGCCUAAAAACCGGCUUAUGCCGUCUGACUGGAGCCGUGCUCGUGCGUCCAGCGUCCGCAAGGACAUUCAGGCGUCAUCUUCACGAGAUCGCGGCGAGGUAAGUCCGGGACCGAGCCGCUAAAAACUUUCGGACUCGCCGUCAGCGCGCCCUGUUCGUCGGGUUGCUGCCGGUCAAAACAGUAGACGUAACUACGCAUGUAGAGCCGAGGGCGGAGGGCUCGCGGACGCGGGUUCGAUUAACGCA